rnacentral:rRNA from 1 species
UAGGGAAUCUUCCACAAUGGGCGAAAGCCUGAUGGAGCAACGCCGCGUGAGUGAAGAAGGUUUUCGGAUCGUAAAACUCUGUUGUAAGGGAAGAACAAGUGCAGUAGUAACUGGCUGCACCUUGACGGUACCUUAUUAGAAAGCCACGGCUAACUACGUGCCAGCAGCCGCGGUAAUACGUAGGUGGCAAGCGUUGUCCGGAUUUAUUGGGCGUAAAGCGCGCGCAGGUGGUUUCUUAAGUCUGAUGUGAAAGCCCACGGCUCAACCGUGGAGGGUCAUUGGAAACUGGGAGACUUGAGUGCAGAAGAGGAAAGUGGAAUUCCAUGUGUAGCGGUGAAAUGCGUAGAGAUAUGGAGGAACACCAGUGGCGAAGGCGACUUUCUGGUCUGUAACUGACACUGAGGCGCGAAAGCGUGGGGAGCAAACA